ensembl:Y_RNA Y_RNA Y RNA
AGCUGGUCCGAGUGCAGUGGUGUUUACAACUAAUUGAUCACAACCAGUUACAGAUUUCUUUGUUCCUUCUCCACUCCCACUGCUUCACUUGUCUAGCCUUAA